GGAUGAGCUGUCACACUGACUGUGACAGGCCACACGGAAAAGAAUGCCUGGGUCAGCGGUGGCUUUUCGGAGUGAUCCGGGAGGUCACGCUUGUGGGGAUCUCCUUUUAGAAGCUUUGAGUUUCAUCUCGCGCUGGAUUCUCCUGCUUUAUUCCCUCCUGGGUCUCUCCAGCAGAUGCCUGUCUGCAGUCUUGGAGGUUUGAAGCCAGGAAGAAAAUCCAGGCCAGAGAUGAUCGUUUGGAGUCCCCAGCACACGGGUGGUCAGUGGAUUUCUGGGAGAGACGAGAAGAAGGCCUCGGGGCCACACAAUGUUUAGGGCGGGGAGGACGAGGAGACAGUCACCAAGAAGGCGGAGCUGGAGUCACUGCCCAGCGGGAGAAACCGGUCUCAGACACGGACGGUUGUCCGCAGUGACGAGGACGGCAGGCGUCCGGGCAGCUGGCACCGCGUCCGCCUUUUCCUCCUCUUCCCCGCGGUUUGUCCCACGAUGCGCGGGGCUGCAUGACUGGGAUGUUGGCUGAGGGGCAUCCUCGGGGCAGUGG